GAACGGUAGCACAGAGAGCUUGCUCUUGGGUGACGAGUGGCGGACGGGUGAGUAAUGUCUGGGAAACUGCCCGAUGGAGGGGGAUAACUACUGGAAACGGUAGCUAAUACCGCAUAACGUCUUCGGACCAAAGUGGGGGACCUUCGGGCCUCACACCAUCGGAUGUGCCCAGAUGGGAUUAGCUAGUAGGUGGGGUAACGGCUCACCUAGGCGACGAUCCCUAGCUGGUCUGAGAGGAUGACCAGCCACACUGGAACUGAGACACGGUCCAGACUCCUACGGGAGGCAGCAGUAGGGAAUAUUGCACAAUGGGCGCAAGCCUGAUGCAGCCAUGCCGCGUGUAUGAAGAAGGCCUUCGGGUUGUAAAGUACUUUCAGUGGGGAGGAAGGCGAUGGAGUUAAUAGCUUCGUCGAUUGACGUUACCCGCAGAAGAAGCACCGGCUAACUCCGUG
rnacentral:rRNA from 1 species